AGCAGCCGCCGCGGGAAAACGAGGGGUGCAAGCGUUAUUCGGAUUGAUUGGGUGUAAAGGGUGUGCAGACGGCUUAUUAAGUCACUUGUUAAAUUCUUCGGCCUAACUGAAGGUCUGCAAGUGAUACUGAUGAGCUAGAGGGUGGAAGAGAGAAGUGGAAUUCUCGGAGUAGGGGUAAAAUGCGUAGAUCUCGAGAGGAACACCAAUGGCGAAGGCAGCUUCUUGGUCCAUUCCUGACGUUCAUACACGAAAGCGUGGGGAGCAAACAGGAUUAGAUACCCGCGUAGUCCCUGUCUCUUAUAA
rnacentral:rRNA from 1 species